rnacentral:lncRNA from 1 species
CCUGAUCCUGCAGGUGGGCGGGCAGGCAUGCGGGGGUCUGUGGUCUUCCCUGCUUCACUUGCCCACCCCGAGGGCCCCCUUGCCAGGCCCGUGCUGGGCAAAGCUAACAAAAGGCUCUCACUGAGUCAGGGCAUGCGUGGGAGUUUAUAAUCUGUACACACACAGCCAGCGGCUUGCUGCACCCAACCCCAAGCCCAUAUACAUGCUUCCAAGGGUUCCGCAUGAAGCCCACACUGCCCACCCCGACGCGGGAGGAAGCGUUCCGGGAAGAUGGUGUCUCAGUGCCCUUCCGUGCCAGCUGCCUGUCCCGCCUGUCAGCUCGGGCUCGCCCAGGUCACCUCCUGCUCCUCUGUGAGCUCAGGCCGCUACCUCUCCCCCCACCGCAAGGCUGAGCCAUCACGCCCAAUCCGCUGCCCUCUGCACCCAGCAGAAAGCCGAGGGAGGAGGCACCGCACCUGCCUCUGAUAAGUAUCGCAGAAAUGCAAAAUUCAACUUGGCUGUGGGGCAGGGUGGGGCCGACAGGACCGACUGGCUCCCCGCUGGCAGCGUUGGCAGCGGCUGUGCAUAUUUGCAAUGCUUCCUCCAGCCUGCGACAACCGACUGCAAACAGCACAGCGCUGGGUCGCUGGCUGCGGGGAGCUGGUUUGUGCAGAGAAGCAGGGAGCACUGUUUGCAGCAAUGUUGUGAGCGCUGAACCGAGGUGGGGAACCUUCCAGAGCAGCCCAAGCUCUGGCAGGAAGUUCCACGAGCCGCGGAAGGCCACUGAUGAAAAGGGGCGUCUGAGUCACACACGGGCGGGGGGCGGGGUGCUCCCUACUCCGAGGUCUAAGUUCCAGCCCCCACAUGCCCGCUAUCGUUAGUAGCCGUGGUGUCUGCGAGGUGGGAGCUUCUGUCCCUCCAGUCCAGUCGACGCAGGGAAGGAAAUUAGGUCAUGGAGAUUUGGCCUUGAAAAGUGCAAUUUAAGUUUAUGGAGAUAAGAAUGAGCGUUAUAACGUUGCAGUUAAUAAAAAGCUCUUCCUGGGAGCAAAGAGAGCUGGAGCUGGAGAACCGAUCCCCAGCGAUAGGUUAGCAUAUAAUGGUAGGGGAUGAGGGAAGAGCUUAACUGCUCCGGGUACAGAAAUCCAGAAAGCAAACUGGAAUCUGCAGGGAGAGUCGAGGAUAGUUUCAAGUGUGACCAUUAUGCCUCCCCAGCUCUGCCAAGCCAUCCAUCCAUCCACUCAUCCAUCCGCUCAUUCCCCGUGUCACAUGUCUGAUCUUGACCACUGGUCCACAGGGCCCUGGCGGAAGGAGAGGACACAGAGGUAGAAAGACACCCACGGACAAACAGCACGGUCCAGCCCGAGGGGUCACUGCCAGGAGCACCGUGGGCGGCGCCAACCCCAUGGUCUGGCGGCUGAAGAGAAGCUGAGGAUACAGCUAGCUGUUCUCUCGGGACGGGACGUCUGGAGCCAGAGCUGGGGGAAACAGAGCACCGCCCAGGACAAGACUCAAGUGGAAGGGAAAGCAAGAGAUUGAAGAGGCGAAGGGAAGACUCAGGAGUGAGGAGGGCCCUCGCCACAGAGAGCAGUUUGGCCUUUACUGGGUGACUCUCAGAUCGAGUCUGGGCUCUUUUUUCAGUCACUGCUUUGCUUUAUCCCCGGUGCCUACAAAACCCCAGGCACCGAAUGAAGCCAAGAAGUGGCCGGCGAUGCCUUUUUAAAAAUUCAGAUGUGAAGAAGGAGUCAGAGGGCCCUGGGCUCUCCACAGUGGGGUUGGAGAGGCGGCUCUUAACUGGCGAUGGGAAGGUGUGAAGUGUGGGCAGGCGGGAAGGAAGUGGAAGUCACCCAGCACGGCUCCAGAGCCUUCACUCUCACAGGCAAUGAAAGGAAGGCACUCGACGGUCACUUCCUUCCAGAAGCCUCAUUGGAGUCACGUGGCUGGGGCUCCUACAACUCAGCAACUGACGUGGUGCUUCCUGUACACUUUCCUCUUGUUUUAUGAGAUAACACCCAAGAUAAACACGAAGCAGCCAGCUCUCUUUUAUAGCAUUUCUCUGGUGGGCAGAAGCUACCUAAGAUAAAUAUGUUUACAGAUAGAAAUAUGGUUGGGUUGCGGAGGGGGGGGAUAGUCCUUCCACUUGUGUAUUUUUUCCCCUUAGGAUUUAAAAAGAAAAAUCUUUAAUGUUUUUUAUUUUGCUGUAAGCCAGUGGGGAACCAUAAUUACAGAGCUGUUUGUCAAAAAACAAACAAAACACACAUGCGCAAUAGUAGCAGCUAUGCAUUAGUGCCUCUUUAUAAUUAAGAUGAAGGUGAUAUGAAAAAUAUAUUUUAGGCCAGGCAUGGUAGAGCAAGCCUCUAAUCCUAGCACUCAAGAGGCUGAGGCAGGAGGAUUGCCAGUUCAAACCUGGCCUGAGUGACAUAGUGAGAUACUGCCUCAAAAAUCAAAAAGAGAGGGUCGGGGAUUUAGCUCAGUGGUUCCGCCACCUGCUUCACUAGCACAAGGACCUGAGUUCGAUCCCCGGUACCGGGAAAAAAACAAAGAGGAAGGAAGGAAGAGAGGAAAGGAGGGAAAGAAGUAUUUUCUGCAGUAUCAUUGAUUCUGUUAUCCUCCUGCUCAUUCCCCUUUGCUUAUCUGCUUUUUCUGAAGGGCAGGUGUCCUUACGCAUCAGCACUUUCUAGGUGGCUGAGUGCCUCAGCCAGGUUUCUACCUGUGCCACCCUUGACAUUUCAACCACACAAGGGCACAGAAGGGGUCAUAGGGCUCGGGUUUCCUUCCAGAAGAGAUGAGAUCCUACUCUCCAAAGUGGACCCUUUGACCAGUGCUCCCUAAAGCUGAAAUCUUGUGGAGUAGAUGUGCUAGUGUUUUGUCUGCUGGUUUUGUGGUCCUGGGGAUUGAACCCUGGGCCUUGUGUAUGCCAGGCAAGUGCUCUUCCACUGAGCUAUAUCUCCAGCCUUUCUGGUUUUAUUUAUUUCCAGACAUGGUCUUGCAGAGUUGCUCAGGCUGGCCUUGACUUUCAAUUCUCCUGCCUCAGCCUCCUCAGUAGCUGGAAUUACAGGCACACGCUAUCACACCUGGCAUGUGAUAUUUUUGGUUAGAUCUCUGGCUGUUAUUUUUAAGAAAUGAGUGCUUACAGUUCCUCAAAUUAUCACAGUGGAUCAGGGAUCAUGUGCUUCCUGUUUGGACACAAGGGCCCCUCUUACUCCCCACUCUGGCCUUUGAGGUGUUUAUCACGAAUCUGGCCGAAAGUCUCCCGGCGACUUCCCCUGUGGCUCUGGGUGAGCCUGCUCCUGCAUUUGGAAGCUCCCGACAUUAGAGUAAGUGGAGAAGCCAUGCAUAGAAAUCAAGCCCUGGUGGUGCACACCUAUAAUCCCAGCAUUCAGGAGGCUGAGGCAGGAAGAUUGCCAGAAGUUUGAGGGAACCCUGGGCUCCCUAAUGAGUUCAAGAGCAGCUUGGACUACACAUCGAGACUUGGUCUCAAAAACACCAAAAACAGGGCCGGGGAUUUAGCUCAGUGGUUUCACUGCCUGCUGCGCAAGUGCAAGGUCCUGAGUUUGAUCCCCCAUACCAAAAAAAAAAAAAAAAAAAAAGCCAAAAACAAACAAACCAGAAAUGGCUUUAAAUCUGGACUUCUGUGCUACCUUCAAAUGGGGCUGUGAAUUCACACACAAAGUUGAGCUUACAGGAGGGAAAGAAGAGAAUAUUCAUCUUGCAAUUUUAAUUUAAAUGACAAACAUUAGGGCUGGGGAUUUAGCUCAGUGGUUCUACCACCUGCUUUGCAAGUGCAACGUCCCAAGUUUGAUCCCUGGUACCAAAAAACAAAAAACAAUAAAGGACAAACACUAAAAUAUUCCAUGAUUUUGUAAAUCAUGUUUUGCUAUUUGAACAUUUUAAGAAACCUCCUACGAAGCUCAAAGGUGGAAUUGGCUCCCUUCUCUCUUUUCCCCAUUAGCAGCGGGUCACUGCUCACUGAAUAACUAGGACCUUUUUCUGGUGCUCAAGCAUCCCUUCUUCACUCCCAGGGGAGUGUUGGGGCCACAGCCAGCUUCUCCCAGUCCUGUCAGGGGUGCAGGCUCUCCCAGAGGACCUGACACAAAUACCAUCACUACAUGAGUGGUCCACCCACCUGGCCCUCACUAUUAGCCUUGCUGAGGUUCAGAUCUAAAAUGUUCCCCAAAAGUCUGUGUGUGGGAGGUGAUUGGAUCAGAGGUACCAUGCUCAUCAGGGGACUCAUCCAUGGGUGAGUUAGUUCAUGGCUGAGCUCGCUGUCAGGAGGUAAGGCCUGACCUUGUAGUGUAUUCUUGUCCCUGGCUCUUCCCUUCUCUCUCUCUGCAUCCUGGCUGCCAUGAGGUGAGCACAUUUCCUCCACCAGGCCCUUCCACUAGGCUGUUUCUGCCUUGGUGUGGGGAGCGGUGUCAGCCAAAGAAGCUCCAUUUUAAGUUUACCCUCCGUUGUAAAUAGGAGAUUAUGUUAUGGGGAACCGUGUCCUUGCCAACUCCGAUGCUUACCUUCAGAGGUUGCCUUAGAAACAAGAUAAAUGUUCUGUAACCUCAAGAAACAAAAUAGCCCUUGAGGGCGGGGAAUGUUCAAAAAACUAGUAAACAAGGAAGCAGGUGUUUUUUGUAUAAAGGUAAUGAUUAAUGACCUAACUCACUGAGUGUAUAAGAGAGGUGUAAAUAAACUUGCUUGCUUGGUCUUGGGAGCCCUCCCGACUCUGUCUCUUUGUCUUAUUUUCUCAGUCCUCCUUUCCCCCAUUCAGGAACCUUUCGACUGGUGACGGCUGGUCCGUCACACCUUGGAGCCAGCAGACCAUGGACUGUACCCUCUGAAAACUGAG